rnacentral:piRNA from 1 species
AGAGUGUCCACACCAAUGGGUAAAACACCCGA